ensembl:snRNA U6 U6 spliceosomal RNA
GUGCUUUGACAGCAUAGAUAUUAAACUUGGAACAAUGCAGAGAUUAGUAUGGCCCUUGGGCAAGGAUGACAGUACAAAUUUGUGAAGUGUUCUAUAUUUAA